rnacentral:rRNA from 1 species
UCGCCUGUUUAUCAAAAACAUAGCCAUUAGACGAUAUUUAUGGUUAAACCUGCCCAAUGUUUAAUAAUGAAUGGCCGCGGUACCCUGACCGUGCUAAGGUAGCGUAAUCAGUUGGCUUUUAAAUGGAGUCAGGAAUGAAUGGGAAAACCGGGUUUAGCUGUCUCUUAAUUAUUAUUUUGAAUUUACUAUUUAAGUGAGAAAGCUUAAUUUUGGAAAAGGGACGAGAAGACCCUUAGAAUUUUUUUUAAAUAGUUUUAAUUUAACUUUAUGAUUUUAUUGGGGCGAUAAAGAAAUAGUUAAAACUUUCUGUAAAUACAAGCCGAUUGUGUUAAGUAAGAAUAAAUUACCUGAGGGAUAACAGCAUAAUUCUAUAGUUGAGUUUGUGACCUCGAUGUUGGACUAGGAGACUAGCAGGCUAGCCGUUUGUUGAGUUGGUUCUGUUCGAACUUUAAUUCC